AAGCAUCAUAAAAUCUUAUUUAAAUAUAUAAAAUAAUAAAAUGGUGGCUUUCUUCAAUCAUGAGUAUUAAAUCUGUUUAAAGUGGUUAACAUUCCUCUAAAAUCUAUCUAAUUCUAUGAUUUUACAAUUAAUAAGAUAUAAGAAAAUGUGGUAUGAGUGGCAAUGGGACAACUCUCCAUCCAAGUUACAGUUUGUAAAAGUAAACUAUUAUAGGUCAAAGUCUUCAACACAGAGCCUUGGCUCACACUGAGCAGCAAGCUAAAUAGGACCCCAAAAAAUGACUAGUGUAAAACCAUUCAAAGAGAAAAACCAACAGUCUAAUCUAUAUAAAAAAUCUACUUAUAAAAAUUUAUGGUACUCAUGUAUUAUAAAAUUAGGUUAACUAUUUGUUUUUUGUCUAAUGUACUUCACAGUUAAAUUGAAUUAAGAAUUUUAAGGAAAGUGAUGUAUGAUCUAACUAUAUUUUACAAUUUUAAGACAGUUACAGUAAAAGAAAAUGUUAUUUAUCAGAACUUACUCUCUAAACAAGAACACAAUAUGAUCUAACAGUGUAUUAUAAUUCCAA
rnacentral:lncRNA from 1 species